UUCCCCUAGUAACUGCGAGUGAAGAGGGAAAAGCUCAAAUUUAAAAUCUGGCAGCUUUGGCUGUCCGAGUUGUAAUCUGGAGAAGUGUUUUCAGUGCAGGACCGUGUACAAGUCUCUUGGAAUGGAGCAUCAUAGAGGGUGAGAAUCCCGUCUUUGACACGGACUACCUGUGCUUUGUGAUACACUCUCAAAGAGUCGAGUUGUUUGGGAAUGCAGCUCAAAAUGGGUGGUAAAUUCCAUCUAAAGCUAAAUAUUGGCGAGAGACCGAUAGCGAACAAGUACCGUGAGGGAAAGAUGAAAAGCACUUUGGAAAGAGAGUUAAACAGUACGUGAAAUUGUUGAAAGGGAAACGCUUGGAGUCAGUCGCGUUUGUUAGAACUCAGCUUGGCUUCUGCUUAGUGUACUUUCUAAUGAACGGGCCAACAUCGAUUUCAGUCAGUGGAUAAGGGUAAGAGGAAUGUGGCACCUUCGGGUGUGUUAUAGCCUCUUAUCGUAUACAUUUACUGGGAUCGAGGUCUGCAGCACUUGUGCUUAGGAUGUUGGCAUAAUGGCUUUAAUCGACCCGUCUUGAAACACGGACCAAGGAGUCUAACAUGCCCGCGAGUGUUAGGGUGGUAAACCCUUGCGCGUAAUGAAAGUGAAAGUUGGGACCUCUGUCAUGGGGGGCACCGACGCCCGGUCCAGAACUUCUGUGACGGUACUGCGGUAGAGCGUGUAUGUUGGGACCCGAAAGAUGGUGAACUAUGCCUGAAUAGGGUGAAGCCAGAGGAAACUCUGGUGGAGGCUCGUAGCGAUUCUGACGUGCAAAUCGAUCGUCAAAUUUGGGUAUAGGGGCGAAAGACUAAUCGAACCAUCUAGUAU
rnacentral:rRNA from 1 species